rnacentral:rRNA from 1 species
AACGAACGCUGGCGGCAGGCUUAACACAUGCAAGUCGAACGCAUCCUUCGGGGUGAGUGGCAGACGGGUGAGUAACGCGUGGGAACGUGCCCUUCAGUUCGGGAUAACCCAGGGAAACUUGGGCUAAUACCGGAUACGUGCGAGAGCAGAAAGGUUUAUCGCUGAAGGAUCGGCCCGCGUCUGAUUAGCUAGUUGGUGGGGUAAUGGCCCACCAAGGCGACGAUCAGUAGCUGGUCUGAGAGGAUGAUCAGCCACAUUGGGACUGAGACAAGGCCCAAACUCCUACGGGAGGCAGCGGUGGGGAAUAUUGGACAAUGGGCGCAAGCCUGAUCCAGCCAUGCCGCGUGAGUGAUGAAGGCCUUAGGGUUGUAAAGCUCUUUCGUCCGGGACGAUAAUGACGGUACCGGAAGAAGAAGCCCCGGCUAACUUCGUGCCAGCCGCCGCCGUAA